rnacentral:rRNA from 1 species
AGAGUUUGAUCCUGGCUCAGAUUGAACGCUGGCGGCAUGCCUUACACAUGCAAGUCGAACGGCAGCACGGACUUCGGUCUGGUGGCGAGUGGCGAACGGGUGAGUAAAGCAUCGGAACGUGCCCGAUCGUGGGGGAUAACGCAGCGAAAGCUGCGCUAAUACCGCAUAAGAUCUACGGAUGAAAGCGGGGGACUCGCAAGAGCCUCGCGCGAACGGAGCGGCCGAUGUCAGAUUAGGUAGUUGGUGGGGUAAAGGCCCACCAAGCCGACGAUCUGUAGCUGGUCUGAGAGGACGACCAGCCACACUGGGACUGAGACACGGCCCAGACUCCUACGGGAGGCAGCAGUGGGGAAUUUUGGACAAUGGGCGCAAGCCUGAUCCAGCCAUGCCGCGUGCAGGAAGAAGGCCUUCGGGUUGUAAACUGCUUUUGUACGGAGCGAAAAAGCCUCCAUUAA